GACGAACGCUGGCGGCGCGCUUAACACAUGCAAGUCGAACGGAAAGGCCUGCUUUCCCUUGUGGAUUGCGGGUACUCGAGUGGCGAACGGGUGAGUAACACGUGAGUGAUCUGCCCCCAACUUGGGUAUAAGCCUGGGAAACUGGGUCUAAUUCCCGAUAGGACUGCAGGGUGGUGCCUGUGGUGGAAAACGAUUUUCUAGUGGUUGGGGAUGAGCUCGCGGCCUAUCAGCUUAUUGGUGGGGUAAUGGCCUACCAAGGCGGCGACGGGUAGCCGGCCUGAGAGGGUGGACGGCCACAUUGGGACUGAGAUACGGCCCAGACUCCUACGGGAGGCAGCAGUGGGGAAUAUUGCACAAUGGGCGGAAGCCUGAUGCAGCGACGCCGCGUGGGGGAUGACGGCCUUCGGGUUGUAAACUCCUUUCGACCGCGAGGAAGCCACCUGGUUGGAAGGGUGGUGACGGUAGUGGUAGAAGAAGCACCGGCUAACUACGUG
rnacentral:rRNA from 1 species